rnacentral:ncRNA from 1 species
CACUACGUUGAUAGGCUGGAUGUGGAAGCACGGUAACGUGUGUAGCUGACCAGUACUAAUAGCUCAAUUGGCUUGAUUUA